rnacentral:rRNA from 1 species
UUAGACAUGACGUUAGGCUAGAUCACCUGCUGAAUUU